CGGCCAAUGCUGCUCUUCUGAGAGCAACCGCUCUGACAGCUCUCUCUAGUCUCUACUGGGAAACAGCUAAAAGUCCUUCUGGAGGCUUUGCAUUUGAACUCCUAUGACUGGUUGUGGACUUGAAGGGAACGCCUUCCUGACAUCCAGGAAAAAGGUGAGAUUAUAAUACAUUUGAAUGCCAAAAGCAAGUUAUUGUUUUUAACUUUUGAAAUAUGAUUGUUUUGGGGCAUUUCAGUUUUAUUGGACAGGCAGUAGAGAUCUACUGGAAACAGUGGAGAGGGAGGAGAUGAUAUGCAGCAUACGGCCCAGCCGGAUGGUUGCUGCUCCGUGUGGAACGUGUCGUAUCAGGUGUAACAUCUACCAAUGGUUGUACAUGACAGAGACCUCCUCCGCCUCUUUGCUGUCUUACUAGUCAAUCCUUCUGAUCAGGUCCUUUCCUAAAUAGUGAAAGGAUCAUGCCAGCCCACAUCAAACACCUGAUCAAGAGCUUGUGAACCUCACUGCUGCAGACACCUGUGUGAUAUUCCACUCUGACUGGAACCCUCAAAAUGACCUGCAGGCUCAAGCUCGGUUCGUCAUCGUUUUGGCCAGUCUAAGGCGGUGGAGGUGUGAAAUGCUGGAUAAAGCUAGUCUGAAGCUCGGGCUGGACCGUCCCGUCCUGCAGAGCAUGAGUGGCAACAACAACGGGCCGGUCCAGCAGUUCUCCAAGAAGGAGAUCGAGGACCUGCUGAGGAAAGGAGCCUACGCCGCCAUCAUGGACAUCGACCAGAUCCUGCAGCGAAGAGCCACCUUCAUCACCAUCACCAGUUUGCUUCAAGCAGUGGCUGCACGAGAAAGACGUGGAGGACCAAGAAAUGCUGGCCAGAUUGGCAAAGACCGAAGAUACAUAACAGAGAAGAUAAUGGAUAUUAACAAGAAAAAGAAAAAUAAUGUUUAUAAUUUCUUUGUUGCUGUUUACAUUUUGAAUUAUAUUUGUUAUUUUUAAAUCAAAUGCAUCUUUUUUAGAUGAUAUAUUUAUUUAGAUGUAGGUUUUUUUUGUAAUAUUAUUGUAUUAAGUAUAAUUUAUUAAAUAAAAAUACUGUUAUGAACACUA